rnacentral:rRNA from 1 species
GUGGGGAAUAUUGCGCAAUGGGGGAAACCCUGACGCAGCGACGCCGUGUGAGGGAAGAAGGCUUUCGGGUCGUAAACCUCUGUCAGAAAGGAAGAACCUCCCAAGUCCGAAUAGGGCUUGGGACUGACGGUACUUUCAAAGGAAGCACCGGCUAACUCCGUGCCAGCAGCCGCGGUAAUACGGAGGGUGCAAGCGUUAAUCGGAAUCACUGGGCGUAAAGCGCGCGUAGGACGCUUUGUAAGUCGAACGUGAAAGCCCUCGGCUCAACCGGGGAACUGCGUUCGAUACUGCGAGGCUUGAGUCCUGGAGAGGGUGGCGGAAUUCCGGGUGUAGGAGUGAAAUCCGUAGAUAUCCGGAGGAACACCGGUGGCGAAGGCGGCCACCUGGACAGGUACUGACGCUGAGGCGCGAAAGCGUGGGGAGCAAACAGGAUUAGAUACCCUUGUAGUCC